UAUGGCAGCUAGCUCACUACAACUCUCACAUGGUCGCCAACUGAAGCUAAGCAGGGCUGUGCCUGGUCAGUACCUGGAUGCGAGACCACAUGGGAAAGCUAGGUUACUGCUGGAA
rnacentral:rRNA from 1 species